CACGUAUGAGAACAAAGCAGGCAACCAGGAUGAUUACUCCCAAAUCAUUGACAAAAGGAGAGAGAAGUACAGAGAUACAGUGAUUGGGGGUUGCCAAAAAGUUGCACGAGUGUUUCAACUGGAUAUUGCAACUGAAGACAUUCACUCUGCAUUGAUCACCUAUGGAGUGAUCAACUUUCAACCCUUUGAAGUUUCCUAAAUCAAGAAAUGUGGUUACUGUCGGCCACCACAGUCAGAACCAGAGGACACCAUGCUGGCUAACGGAAUCCAGAUGCUCUGGGUCUCAAGUGUGCCAAGAUCAUUACUCCACGUUAUUGCUCUGUUUCAGAUAAUUGCCAGAGAAAACGCUAAGGUUG
rnacentral:lncRNA from 1 species